UUUGUGUUUUCAGCAGCACUGAAAGCGUUGACUGUCAAGAGAAUCUGAAUAAUUUAAUCUGGUUUUUACCUGAGUUAGGCACUUGGAUUAUUCUUGUGAGAACAUGAUGAGCGCUCAGCUCGAUUCAGAGACAAACAGCUACUGUCCUGCCACCAUGCUUGGCAGUGAGGACAGUGAAGAAGAAACCAGCCAAGAGGAGCCGCCAGUCACAAACUGGAACGAGCUGUCCAUCAUAGAGCGUGU